rnacentral:rRNA from 1 species
GAUGAACGCUGGCGGCGUGCCUAAUACAUGCAAGUCGAGCGAACAGACGAGGAGCUUGCUCCUCUGACGUUAGCGGCGGACGGGUGAGUAACACGUGGAUAACCUACCUAUAAGACUGGGAUAACUUCGGGAAACCGGAGCUAAUACCGGAUAAUAUAUUGCACCGCAUGGUUCAAUAGUGAAAGACGGUUUUGCUGUCACUUAUAGAUGGAUCCGCGCCGCAUUAGCUAGUUGGUAAGGUAACGGCUUACCAAGGCAACGAUGCGUAGCCGACCUGAGAGGGUGAUCGGCCACACUGGAACUGAGACACGGUCCAGACUCCUACAGGAGGCAGCAGUAGGGAAUCUUCCGCAAUGGGCGAAAGCCUGACGGAGCAACGCCGCGUGAGUGAUGAAGGUCUUCGGAUCGUAAAACUCUGUUAUUAGUGAAGAACAAAUGUGUAAGUAACUAUGCACGUCUUGACGGUACCUAAUCAGAAAGCCACGGCUAACUACGUG